GUGGGGAAUAUUGGACAAUGGGCGAAAGCCUGAUCCAGCCAUGCCGCGUGUGUGAAGAAGGUCUUCGGAUUGUAAAGCACUUUAAGUUGGGAGGAAGGGCAGUAAGUUAAUACCUUGCUGUUUUGACGUUACCGACAGAAUAAGCACCGGCUAACUUCGUGCCAGCAGCCGCGGUAAUACGAAGGGUGCAAGCGUUAAUCGGAAUUACUGGGCGUAAAGCGCGCGUAGGUGGUUUGGUAAGUUGGAGGUGAAACCCCCGGGCUCAACCUGGGAACUGCCUCCAAAACUGCAUGACUAGAGUACGGUAGAGGGUAGUGGAAUUUCCUGUGUAGCGGUGAAAUGCGUAGAUAUAGGAAGGAACACCAGUGGCGAAGGCGACUACCUGGACUGAUACUGACACUGAGGUGCGAAAGCGUGGGGAGCAAACAGGAUUAGAUACCCCAGUAGUCC
rnacentral:rRNA from 1 species